CUGUUCCCAUUCCUGAGCCGCUUCCCCGUCCUCAGCCGAUGCCCGACCCGCCGCCGGACGAAGAACCGAUUAAA
rnacentral:misc_RNA from 2 species